rnacentral:rRNA from 1 species
UACGUAGGGGGCGAGCGUUGUCCGAAGUUACUGGGCGUAAAGGGCGCGUAGGCGGUCUUGCAAGUCCUGUGUGAAAUCCCUCGGCUCAACUGAGGAACUGCACAGGAAACUGCUUGGCUUGAGUUCGGGAGAGGGAAGCGGAAUUCCGGGUGUAGCGGUGAAAUGCGUAGAUAUCCGGAGGAACACCGGUGGCGAAGGCGGCUUCCUGGACCGACACUGACGCUGAGGCGCGAAAGCUAGGGGAGCAAACGGG